rnacentral:misc_RNA from 1 species
GACGAAGGGUGCGAGCGUUAUUCGGAAUUAUUGGGCGUAAAGGGUGCGUAGGCGGUAUGUUUAGUCAGCCAUACAAUUCUCCGGCUUAACCGGAGGCAUGUGGCAGAUACUGGCAAACUAGAGUAUGGAAGAGAGAAGUGGAAUUCUCGGAGUAGCGGUGAAAUGCGUAGAUCUCGAGAGGAACACCGAUGGCGAAGGCAGCUUCUUGGUCCAUUACUGACGCUGAGGCACGAAAGCGUGGGGAGCAAACAGG